rnacentral:lncRNA from 1 species
GGGAGCCACACGUCAUUUUUGGCUUUUCUGUAUUGGUGUGCGGGGCUGCUACGUGCUCGGCUUAGAGAAUUAGAAGGGUCCGUCUCUUUUUGCCCACUGGAGUCUGGCACUUGGGGCACUGCCUCCCUGUUGGUGGUGGUGGUGAUGGAGCUGUAGGAGGGAGGCUAGCAGUGGGAGCUUCUCCUGCUGGGCUGGAAGACAAGCAGAAGGAAGAGGCACCACCGCAUGCUGGAGGCUGGAGCCACGGCGGCUUGCCUCGCUGCGGUUGGUGGUGACAUCGGAGACCGCAGCUACGAGCUAAAGCAAGCUCAGUACUACUGGUGAUUUGGAAAGUGCCUUCAUAUUGUUUUUGCCAGUUCUCACCUGAGAACCCUGCAGAUGCCCCAUGAGAGGCUGUGCCCUUUACAAGGAGUCUCCAGUGAUACAGCUGAUUUUCCUCCAUACUCUAAUCCCCUUCAUGGCUGCAGCAUCAACAGAUUGCUCUCUUGAAUCUGACCCCAGUUGUUUUAUUAAUUAUACCCCUUUUUGUGACACAGGAAGGCUAAGAUGAAGCUGUCUUGGAUGGAAAAGAAUUCGUUCUCCUCACAUGGAAUAAAGAUCUUGAAAAGUAUUUUUUCUAUGUAGGGUCUGUCCGGACAAAGUUCUGGGCAUAUUUAUCAGAGAACAGUUCUCCUGAUAUCAGAGCCAUGAGGGAAUCUGUUUGGAUUCUCAUCUUGAGAACCCAGAAGUUUCUGGAGGGAAAUUUCAUAAAAGUGUGGGGUGCGUGGCCCCCAGGAGUUCUUACCCUACCCUAUCCACACUUGUCUGCUAGGCAUUUAUGGAAUUAUCAUGUAACUGUUUCCACCAGCUUGUGCUUUCAAUGGAAGAAUCACCCAAUUUAUAAAUUUAGAAAAGAAACUUUAUUUCUGAUAAAUGGGUGAAGCUGCAGGAUGGCCAUCUUAACAGGCCGGAAAGCAAAGCCUCCCACAGAGACAGUGAGCAGGCACUUCAAGAGAGGGAAAGGUGAGAAAUGAGUUCAUGCAAAUGGAUUGGCCAAGUGCACAUACUCAGCGGGCUAUAGAAGGAGCUAUGAAUAUUCACAUGGUGGGCAGGCUGUCAUGCAUAAUAAGCAAACACAGAUGUUACAUGCAUUUCAUGUUUGCUUUGGGGCGAGGACUUAAGAACUAAACAAAUUACAGUUGGGCCGUGUACAUCAAAAGGGCUUUGUGCAGAGGCAGAAGGACACACAGUGCACAGCCUCCAUAAUUUGGCAAGGACAAGUCCAUGGUGAGUGGUCUCUUCUCAGGAGAAAGUUACUGAAAUCAGUCCUUCUCCAUUCAAAGCUCUUUUUAUGGCUGUGGAACGGGCACAGUUACCCAGUGUCUUGAGUUCCAUGAGCUGCAAAUAUUUUAAUAUUCUUAUCGUAGGACCAGUGCUUUUUAGCUGCUAGAGAAAAUGAAAAGCCCUGUGGCAGUUACAACAUAGUCUAUUUUUUAAGUGUAGGAGUGAGUGACUUAAUUUUUGCUUGAUGUGGACUUGGGUCUUGUUUAUAAUUUGGUAUCUUAUUGCCACAACAAGAUUGUUCCAUCAGUCUGAUGAUCUCUAUUUUAAUGUCUUUCUAGUUUUUGGGUCUUGGUUUUCCCUGCAAUUUGAUUUCUUAAAUAGAUCCAAGAAGUUAUUGAUAAUCAAUUUUCCAGGCUUUCAUUGUUGUAGGAAUGUAGGGGAUGACUGACAUGCUCUUUACAUAUUAAAGUGGAAAACAGAAGUAGCUUCAGAGAUCACCAUUGACCUGACAAGCAGCAGGAAUCUCAUCUCGUUAAGUGUAAGUGGCACCACAGAUGUAGCUGAACAUGCAGUGACACAGAAGACCCACACCACAGAACACAUGAAAAAUUUUAUGAUUCUGAGGUUUUCUCCAGGAAGCUGGAACUCAGGUGGUACUACAGAGAUGGACUCAGUUAUCUCUCAGGUGAUACUAUGUUUUGGAAGCUUAUUUCCACUCCUGCACUGGACUCAUUAGCUGCACCUCGACCAGCACACCUAAAACAGAAACUCUCAAUAAUUAAGCACAAAACUCACCAAUAAUAAAGCUGUCCCCAGAGAAGGUGCAGAGCAGGGAACUCUGCUUUUGGGAACAUGCUGGUGUGCAGGGAGUGUCAGGAGCGUGACCCAUUUCCUUCUGCUCCCCCUGCUGGCUUCACAGACAACUGCAUCCAGGAGCUUUAUGUUGCAAAGUAUAUAAAAUAUGUUAUAAUUGUAGAGAAAUGUAAUACACAGAUUAAGGAAUGAGGAACGUACAUGAAAUUAAACAUAAUAUUAUCACGGAUAAGACAACAAACAAAUAUUAAAAACCUGUGUGUGUACGUGUUUGAGAUAGUAUUCUUGUAAAUUAAAUCAUAAUUUGUUUAUAAAGUCCUUCAACUAUGUACAAAAUCUUUGCCUUUGAUUGCCACAAAGAUGAAGAAGGAUGUGGCACCAGGACUCCAGGGCCAUGCUAGUGAUUUCCCCUCCUAUCUCCUGAGGACACGGUGCUUCCAACUCUGAGGAUCAGGAUGCUGAAAUUGGCUGUGUGAGAAGAGAAAAUGGGAUUUUCUGUGGGAACAGACUAGUGUGAAUGUAACUUUCAAGCAAGUAAGUUUAUUCUACCAUGAGACACACAGCUAUCAUGCUGACUGUGUGUUGCUUUUGACAUUAAUAUGAUAUUAUCAGUAUUGGGUUGUUCCAUGGAAAAUGACCAAUUGUCUCAGAAUUAACUGGAGUCGUUUUCAUUUCAGUUUUUUCACACUUCUAGCUAAAUCACCUAAUUUUACUGUGUUUGAGCUUGGAAAGUUUCAGGGCGUGGGUUACAAAUGAUGGAGUGGAAGGUCUCCCAAGAGUUAGAUGUGGUUCUGCUAAAGGAUGACCCAGGAUUUGUCCAGAAGCUCCCCUCCUUGUCUGUCCCAGCACUUGCUCCUCAGUGCGCCCCAUCCUGCCAGAGUGCUGAGCUUCUCUGCGUUCCUGGACAAUGCACGUCUGGGGCAUCUGCUUCCUAGAUGUGCAUACAUAGGGCGGGCUGCUCUUCAUAAUGGUUGAGAGGGAGCUGGGCCUGGAUCCACCCAGGUGGCCCUACCACUGUGAACUGGGCUUCCUCCCAGCAAGGAGACAAGGAAACCAGCUUCUGCUCUCUGACAUAUAUCACCUGGUUUGUGCCAAGAGCAUUAACCCUGGGAGCUCCUCCCAAAAAAAUGGUUGUGCACAGGGGAGAUGUUAAGCUAUGGCUGCUCCUGGGACUCAUCGGAGAUUCCUGAUGGGCAUCUGUAAUCAGGAAGUCAUCAACAGCCUUGCCGGACUUAACUUGCUCCACAGGUUAACUAGGAAGCACCACCAAACUCCCACAUUUCCCCAUCACUAGUUGUAAGACUGGCAUCCUGGCCUGACAGUGUCUACAGCCUCACCCAGCCUCCUGUGUGUUUUUCUGCCUGCCUUACUUACAUCUCACUUUGGGACAAAUAAGAAAUUUUUUAAAUAAACUUUUCUAAUCUAGAGACCUCAGUGGUAGGCACAGAAACACAAAUAUAGAGAGGCUCCCAGGGAAACUGUUCGAUGGAGAGGAAGCCACAGACCCUGAAGGAAAGCGGCCCUUGACCUUCAACUGCACCUGCCCUGGGGAUGCCCCUAACUUCUGUGGGAGUGAGUGCCCUCUGCAGCCCAGGCUCCUUCCUUCUCUCUGCAGGAUAUUUUGCGUUUUGGCUGACACUGGUGUUCCCUCACUUGGUACCUUAUGUACAAUAAUACGAGGCCAUGUUCUCAGCUCUGACUGUUCAUUCACAGGUACAGUGAGUUCUUGGCAUUGUCUUUGGAAA